UGGGGUGUGGCUCAGUGGUAAAGCUCAUGCCUAGUGUGUGUGAGGCACUGGGUUCAAUUUUCAGCACCGCAU
rnacentral:tRNA from 1 species